AUUGAACGCUGGCGGCAGGCUUAACACAUGCAAGUCGAACGAUGAUUAUCUAGCUUGCUAGAUAUGAUUAGUGGCGGACGGGUGAGUAACAUUUAGGAAUCUGCCUAGUAGUGGGGGAUAGCUCGGGGAAACUCGAAUUAAUACCGCAUACGACCUACAGGUGAAAGGGGGCGCAAGCUCUUGCUAUUAGAUGAGCCUAAAUCAGAUUAGCUAGUUGGUGGGGUAAAGGCCCACCAAGGCGACGAUCUGUAACUGGUCUGAGAGGAUGAUCAGUCACACCGGAACUGAGACACGGUCCGGACUCCUACGGGAGGCAGCAGUGGGGAAUAUUGGACAAUGGGGGCAACCCUGAUCCAGCCAUGCCGCGUGUGUGAAGAAGGCCUUUUGGUUGUAAAGCACUUUAAGCAGGGAGGAGAGGCUAAUGGUUAGUACCCAUUAGAUUAGACGUUACCUGCAGAAUAAGCACCGGCUAACUCUGUGCCAGCAGCCGCGGUAAUACAGAGGGUGCGAGCGUUAAUCGGAAUUACUGGGCGUAAAGCGAGUGUAGGUGGCUCAUUAAGUCACAUGUGAAAUCCCCGGGCUUAACCUGGGAACUGCAUGUGAUACUGGUGGUGCUAGAAUAUGUGAGAGGGAAGUAGAAUUCCAGGUGUAGCGGUGAAAUGCGUAGAGAUCUGGAGGAAUACCGAUGGCGAAGGCAGCUUCCUGGCAUAAUAUUGACACUGAGGUUCGAAAGCGUGGGUAGCAAACAGGAUUAGAUACCCUGGUAGUCCACGCCGUAAACGAUGUCUACUAGCCGUUGGGGUCCUUGAGACUUUAGUGGCGCAGUUAACGCGAUAAGUAGACCGCCUGGGGAGUACGGCCGCAAGGUUAAAACUCAAAUGAAUUGACGGGGGCCCGCACAAGCGGUGGAGCAUGUGGUUUAAUUCGAUGCAACGCGAAGAACCUUACCUGGUCUUGACAUAGUGAGAAUCCUGCAGAGAUGCGGGAGUGCCUUCGGGAAUUCACAUACAGGUGCUGCAUGGCUGUCGUCAGCUCGUGUCGUGAGAUGCUGGGUUAAGUCCCGCAACGAGCGCAACCCUUUUCCUUAUUUGCCAGCGGGUUAAGCCGGGAACUUUAAGGAUACUGCCAGUGACAAACUGGAGGAAGGCGGGGACGACGUCAAGUCAUCAUGGCCCUUACGACCAGGGCUACACACGUGCUACAAUGGUAGGUACAGAGGGUUGCUACACAGCGAUGUGAUGCUAAUCUCAAAAAGCCUAUCGUAGUCCGGAUUGGAGUCUGCAACUCGACUCCAUGAAGUCGGAAUCGCUAGUAAUCGCAGAUCAGAAUGCUGCGGUGAAUACGUUCCCGGGCCU
rnacentral:rRNA from 1 species